UUUUUUUUUUGGGAAAAAAAGAGACACAAAAGAAAUGGAAGAAAGAAAAAAAAUUCAGAUUAAGAAUCACUGAAGAAAACGCAAGACAUAAAAAAAUAAGAAAAUCGAUGAACAAGUCAUAAAACGUAAUAGUACGAUGAACAAAUAAAAAAAAGAAAACACAAAAAUGAUAGAUGGAACCUGAUUUGGAGCCAAAGCUAUGAUAUCAAAUUGAUGCGAACCUCAAGAACGAUGCUUUGAAACCCAUGAACAG
rnacentral:misc_RNA from 1 species